AACAAUUAUAACUUAAACGUUGUAUCAAAUAUACACUUAAUUUAUUCAAAUUAAUAACUCAAAGUUAAUUUGUUAACAAGAUCAUAUGAUAGGAAUAUUUUUGUAGGUUUCCCCCAAAAAUUGUACAUCUAUGUAUAUCUAUCGGUGUAAUCCUGGUACUGUCAUGUCAGUAGUUGGCCCCUUCUGCGACACAUUUGACAGUCCCCACCCUACAAACGUGACCCUGACGGAUCUCCUUAAUCACAGCCAAAAAACUGUCCCACACCUUUCGACCACCUAAAAUUGACCCAACCACGAAGAAAAAAUUCAUUUUAAAAAUAUAAAAAUACAAAAACAGUUUAUUUUUGGAAAGCAAAAAAAAAAAGUUAAAAAAAAAUUCAAAACAAGCUAAGCCAAGCCAAAAAAAGAGAAAAAGCCAAACCUCAGGAAUGCCCUUGAAAUUAUACGCUCCAAAAAUCACUUUCUUAGCGAGUAGUAUACAGCUGAUCGCUCGUCUUAUAUAGCGGUAAGACGUUAACUCGCAUAUUAGUGCGGUGACACAAAUCUAUCUUUUAAUAUUGAGUACAACUUGUUCAGACCUCGAAGGCAUGUACACUAGUAUUUGGACAAAAUGCCCGAAUAACUAGCCAGUAAACAAAUUCAACGUUGAGACAGUAUAACCUAGAGAUGUCAAUUAGGUUGAAUUAAUACGGGAAAUAUGCACGGAUUACCAAGAGUCACGACAUAAUGAAAUUGUGGCAUGAUGGGUUAGGCCACUUUUUUGAGAAGCGGCAAGGCAUAAUACGUCACAUUUAUCUCAUUAAUUCAAAAUCUUCCGUCAUUAACUUUCUUUCAGGUUUAUAUUCAUAUAUUUGCAUUUAUUAUAUUUAAAAAUUUUAUUACCAAUAAAAUAAUUUUCUUUAUUAAUUUUAUUACAAUAUUUUAAUUAUAAAAAAUUAAUAAUGAUAAAAAAAUAAAAAUAUUUAUAACAAAUUAAUUUUAAUAAAUUUAAAUAAUAAUACGAGUAAAAUUUAAAUAAUUAAAAAAAUUAAAAAAAAAAAACUUAUUUAUAAAACAAAUCAUGAAAGUUGCGAACAGGUAAGAUCAAAUGAGUCGUGUCACACCUAAGGUUUUGAUAAUGAGCGCGUUAGGAAAUAAUUAAAAAAUAAAACAUGAUACGAUUGUACGAUAAACACAAAAUUAAAUGGACAGAUCGUCCGACCUAACCCAUUUGACACAUGCAGUUGAAACUUGAAACCAAAGCUGGGCCUACUCUGCAGUAACAAGAUAAAUGCACUCGAUGCGAUGGAAUAGCAGAUGGCUUAGGCUUGUCCUUUUUUGUCGAUUUGUUAAAAAAUAAUAAUAAUUAAAGACCAGGUAAAAUGGGUUCGAUAACGAAAGAUCUAGGACUCCUCCUAACAUACGCUAGGAUGCGCAAAAUACGGCCAUUGCUUUGGGUACCUUGCCCUGCUUUGGCGCGACUCCACAACCACCCCUCCUCCUCGUGUCGCUGCCGUUGCCUUGGGGUUGAACUUGAAUGGGAAACAGAGACCGACGUGUCAGCCUUUACGCUGCACGUGUCACUUUUUUUACUUCGUUGUGACCUCACGCCCUUAAUGCGUUCGUACAGGACACGCCCCAACAAAUGCCUGUACGUAGGAUGGCAAUUUUCACAGAUAAAUCGGGCUCCAUCCACCCUUAAUAAAUCAAGUUUGAGAUAGAGAUAAACAAGUUCGGGACAAAUUAUGAGAGAUAAAUUGUAACUUGAAUUCGAGUCAAGUCGGAUUUAAUCCACUAAACUUCGAAUUCGCUCUGAUUAUAUAUGUAAAUAGACAAAGUUAAGAGUAUUUUUUGAAUUAUACAAAUAUCCUUACUAUAUAUAUUAAUGAAAAAAAUUAAACGCGAUGGGACUGGGUGGGACAUGGCUCCAAACUCCUCACGUGUUUGGAACGAGGUCUGGAGGAUUUUCUUAAUGGGGACAUAAAUAAAUUGGAACACCCAUGCAGAACCCCCCCAUGGGCAGCCAUACCGAGACUACUACUGAACUUUAUAUAUAUAAUAUAUAUAUAAUUAAAAAAAUUAAACGAGAUGGGACGGGGUGGGACAUGAGUCCCAACCCAUCACGUGUUUGGAACGAGGGUCUGGAGGAUUUUCUUAAUGGGGACAUAAAUAAAUUGGAACAAACCCAUUCAGAACCCACCCCAUUGUCAUCCAUACCUAUACUACUACUGAACUUUAUAUAUAUAUAUAUAUAUAAUUAAAAAAAUAUUAAACAGGGGCGGAACGGGGUGGGGACGUAAGUCCCAACCCGUCACGAAUUUGAUACUAGGAUCGGAAUAAUUUUCUUAAUCGGGACAAAAAUAAAUUGGAACAAAUCCAUCCAGAACCUAUCCCAUUGCCAUCCCUGCCUUUAUGGCCAUGGUGACUCCGCCAAGCUGAUUUUUUUUAAGACUUUUGCAUCUUGCUAAUAUUGAUAUCUUUCAGUACAUUUCGAAUCAAAGAGGUAAUUACAAAAAAAAAC
rnacentral:lncRNA from 1 species